UUGUUGAAGGAAUGAAUGAACAAAUGGUUGUCUGUCUUCCCCGCUACACUGGAAACUCUGUAAGGGGAGAAAGAAAGUUUUCCAGGUUCACUUUUGUAUCCUUGCCACCAAGGAUGGAUCUCGUUUUUGUGGAGCUUGAAGCUUAUACAGUUCUGUCUGUCCUCUUUAAGAAAUAGAAAUCCAAAAUUACAAUAAAAGAUUCAGAGCUUUGGGAGGUGCAAGGGAGGGGCCCUGAGGCUUAAACUUCUUGGUAAAUCCACUUCUGUUUGAUACACAGUGCAUGCAGUGUCUGGUACUUUGUAGACACAGUUUUCAAUGAAUAUAUGUAUGCAUGAAUUAGGGAGUGGCAGUUGGCAAAGGAUAUUCAAGCCUUGGAAGGAAAGUUGUUCCAGAUGUAUAUAUUCAGUCCAUCAGAAAGCAUCUAUUAAGUGCCUACUUUCUGACCAUCAUUGUGUUAGAAUAAUGUGAUUUAAAAGGAAUGGUGGGCAGACAUAUUAUCAAAAGAAAUGUCGCAAGGCCUUGUAGAUGUCAUGUGGGACACAAAGGAGAGUGUGUUCAGUUAAACCUCAGGGCCAAGAAGCUUUGCAGAGGAGAUGAUGCCUGAAAAAAAUCUUGUAGGACGAGUAGUUGGUUCCAGUGCAGACAGGGUGGAGAAGGGCCUCUGAGGCUAAGAGAAGCGUGUGCACAAAGGUGUGAAGCUAGAUAAUGUUAUGCUCAACUUAUUUAUACUCAAUGUGUGUCUACUGGUUGAAUUACAGAUUAGUAAUGGCAUUUCAGAUUCUCGGAGGAGGAAUUUUUCAUAGCUGAACAACUCCAAACAGUGAUAAUUAUGGCUCUUGGCAACGGGAGCUUGACUCAUUUGGACUGUGGGAUUAAUGGGGAUAUUGGGAGUAGAAACUGGGUCUUGCAUUUAGAAGAACUGGAUUCCAGUCUGCUACUUAGAAGUGGGUGACCAGGGCAAGUCCUGUUAUCUGUGUCUCACAUCCCCUUUCUAUAAAGUGGGCAUGAUAAUACCCUACUUAACUGGUAAGCUAAUUGUUAGGAUCUUAUGAGACCUUGUACAUAUCGUAAAGAGCUAUAAUGAUUAUUAUUGUUCCUCUUCACCCCCUACCCUGAUGCCAGGUAGGCCAUUUAGACAUAUUUUCAUCAGUGUCUUGAAACUUUAUUCCUUACACCACUUACCUGUCUUGUACUUUCAUUCUUUCUUGCAAAGGAAAACCAAGUCAGUUCAUAAAGGAGUCUGAAAAUCCUGUGCAGGUGCUGAUACCAUCACUAGAGGAGACAGCAGCUUUCCUGUCGAGAGGCCAGGAGAGGCAACAUGCAGUAAAACAAGACACCUCCAAAACUUGAGUGUGCAUGAACAGCGGGAGCCAGCCUACAGGACGUCAGGAGACCUGUGUCCUGGCCCACGUUCAGCCACGAGGGACAGACAGCCUGGUCUUUCUGCGCCUCAGUGUCCACCUUGGUAAAACUGACAGCUUAGGCCAUGACUGUAGUGAUUUCUUAUAAAGCAGAGAUAAC